CCUACGGGAGGCAGCAGUGGGGAAUCUUAGACAAUGGGCGCAAGCCUGAUCUAGCCAUGCCGCGUGAGCGAUGAAGGCCUUAGGGUUGUAAAGCUCUUUCAGUGGGGAAGAUAAUGACUGUACCCACAGAAGAAGCCCCGGCUAACUCCGUGCCAGCAGCCGCGGUAAU
rnacentral:rRNA from 1 species